UGAGGAAAGGAAGGGAUGAAACAGAGGAGAAGGGGAGAGAGCAGCAGAUCGCGUAGAGAGUUAGUGACACACUGGGACAGAGAUGGAUCCAGUGUGAGACGCGAGCGCUCAGUUCCCCGCUGGACAAGAGUCACUGAGUCAUUAGCAUUGCAGAUGUUGGCGAUAGGAAGUGUGAAUGGGCUUCAUGCAUCGGUUCGGCUGAAUCCCAGCAUUGUCUACGGGCCCAGCACUAGCCUUACUGUACGUUGUGAAAUUCCGCCGAGGGGAAUUUCGAAAAUAUGGAAUCUUUGCUGCUUACAAAAACUCACAUUCAUGCAUAAACACACACUGUCACACUGUCUCACACACACACACACACACACACACACACACACACACACACACACACACACACACACACACACACACACACACACACACACACACACACACACACACAAAAAGCACACAUACAUACAUACAUACACAGACACAUAAACACACAAAGACACACUCAUUACCUCACUGCGUCUCUCGGUUAAACUCUCUCUCUCACUACGACAGAAAACACACACACACACACACACACACACAUAAAUAAACAAACAAAAAUGAAUGUACAACUUUCUAAUUUGCAUUCAACAUUUUGAACAAAAGUUCAAAGGCAAUGAUCAAUUUCAUCUGUUUGCGCUGAAGCAAUGGAUCAAUGGCUCCGAUAACUCUCGGUGGUUUUCGAGGAAGUUUCCUGCAACCUGCUGACCUGACGCCAGAUGCC
ensembl:lncRNA